rnacentral:rRNA from 1 species
GUGCAGCCGCCGCGGUAAUACGGAGGGUGCAAGCGUUAAUCGGAAUUACUGGGCGUAAAGCGCGCGUAGGUGGUUUAUUAAGUUGGAUGUGAAAUCCCCGGGCUCAACCUGGGAACUGCAUCCAAAACUGAUUCACUAGAGUACGAUAGAGGGAGGUAGAAUUCACAGUGUAGCGGUGGAAUGCGUAGAUAUUGUGAAGAAUACCAAUGGCGAAGGCGGCUCACUGGCUCGAUACUGACGCUGAGGUACGAAAGUGUGGGGAGCAAACAGGAUUAGAUA